rnacentral:sRNA from 17 species
AGCAACCCCACGAAUGAAUUCGGGGGCUUUUCGAAGCUCCACUUGCUUGGCCGAGGACUGUGGCGAGUAAACGAUUUCUGAGUCAUGACACCCAAGAAUGCCUCGCCAGUUCUUGGCUCUGUC